ensembl:lincRNA A730036I17Rik RIKEN cDNA A730036I17 gene
GUAUUUUGUAGUUUAGUGUGAAGGACAAUAGACCUUUCAGGGUCCCAGAGAGAGCCUAUACUGUAUAAAGAACCAUUGGAGAAUGUCCUCUGGUCUGAAAACAUAUACCCAUUGACUUCUGGGUUGUCCUAGGAGUCUUUAUUAAAUUUAAUUUCUAUUAAAAUGUUUGGGGAGCCAGCUCUUGGGAAUACUAAUCAAUAUUAGUUGAACAGUCCCAUGAUGAAUCUUACAUGCACCUUAUUGAUCUGGAAUGAAGGUAAUUUUCUUUUACCUGACAUCUUGUCUGUCUCCUGGCAAGCUCUCCGUUGGCCUCCAUGUGUUCAACCUCACCAGCAUUUUGAGACUCAAGUCAGCAUGGGAGCAGAGAGCGGUCGGGAAGUCACACCGUCCUGAGGAGAAGAUUAAGGCACUGCAGAUAUCGAGAAAGCCACUUGAGGUCACAGUCUGCACAAGAGGGAACAUGUCACCCAGGGGUGGAGGAAGUACAAGGAGGCAUUCAACUGGCACACCAGUCCGAAGGCGACAAGGCGUUGGGUACCGCUCAGACGACUUCAUCCGAGCAUGCGUGUCCAUCACAUCACAGAAAGCAAAAGCUACAAGCAGAGAACUCCGUGUGUACUUUCAUAAUCCUUUCCAAAGAAAAGCCUGCAGCCUCAGGAGAUCUCGAGGCCACAAUGGAUACCGCGAAGGCUUCAGUGUAUGCAGAGAGAGAGGAGCAUCUACAUGAAAUUUGAGGUGUGUGUAUCUGUGCAUGUUAGUACAGGUGUCAGUGGAGACCAGAAGAGCACACUGGAUCUCUUGGAGCAGGAGUUACAGAUGGUUGUAAACUUUGAAUUCAACUGAGGUCCUUUGGAAGAACAGAGCAUGCUCCUGGCUACCGAGCCAUCUUUCUACCCCUGAGACGAGUGCUUUCUUGAAAACAACUUCUACUGGACAUAAGGCCUCCUCUGUCAGUCCUCAAGAACCUGACCAGAGCUGCACCCGUGUGCCUGUCAUUAGGGAGCUUGCUUAGCAGCAGAGGAAUCCUAGUCCUUCACACCUCUGGUGUGAAGUCCUAUUGCGCCAAGUGGGCUUCCUAGGAGCAGUUUCUAGCCAAGUCUCCAUAUGCUUGGUGGGCGGGUGUGGAAACCCGGGUAAGGCUUGGCAGGAGAUCUGCAGAGGGAGCUGUUACAACCCAAACAGUCACUGUGUGCACAAUGCUUCACUCACACGUCUCUUCCAUAUGCCUGGAACCAGUUACUGGAAACUGCAAGACUCUGUGCAACCCCUCAAAAUGACAGAGAAAGUGCCUGGGACUCACGGGACAACUUGGUCUAAUGUUUCCUAGGCAUCCUAAAAGCCACUGAGUAUUUAAGUUAUCAUACAGAGAGAAAUAUACCCAGGUCAGUCCUUCCACUAUUGGACUGAAAUAAAGAUUUUUGGUUGCCCGACUUCCUAGCAUUCAGGACUUGCUCUGGAUGUGACAACUCUCUUUCCUUCUGACGAGUUUCCAGUCCAAGGUCAGAUGCGGUCUGGGAGGAAGCAUUUCUCACAAGCCAAGUGUGAGGACACGUGCUCCGUGCGAGCCAUAGCCUUUGGACUCCAUUCUGGACUUUGACUGCUGCGUGGAGUAAGGCUGGAACUAGAGAGAUGUCACUGUGCUGACUCACACUGCACAUGCUCCCAGACAGUGAUCGGGAUCCCCACUGAGGAGUGCAAGGCUCAAGCUGAUAGAACCUGGCCACUGGCUCUGCAGUGGAAGAGAAGGUAGCAAGGACAACCACAGGAGCCCCCCUCCCCAGUUCUUCGGGGUCUGCCUCUCUCUCCCCUCCCUGCUGUGGACCACCUCUGUUGCCUGCUGCCAAGGAGCCCUCCUGCCAGCCCAGCUUUCUUUGCUCCAUCCUCCAGAGCCCUAGAUUCCUGGGUCUCACCCACAGUAGAUGCUAGGUCAGAUUUUCCCUGCCUCUGUUGACUUCUGUCUCUGGGCACUCUGUGCAGCUACGUGUGAAUGGAUGAGUGUAAGAGAGAGGACCCAGGAGGCAAAGAGAGAAAUGAGCGUAUGAAGGGCCGAGUGCUUAGCUGAUGAACACUGAACUUCUGAGACUUAAAAUAUUCCAGAAUGUUCUCCCCUUCAGCUGGACGAUGUUACUACAGGAUCUUUAGACCCUUUGAGAAAAUGAGAAUAUUCCUAUUGUGAACCU